rnacentral:rRNA from 1 species
GCGCAUCUGUGCAUGCAGUAUAUCAAUAAGCGGAGGAAAAGAAACUAACAAGGAUUCCCCUAGUAACGGCGAGUGAAGCGGGAAGAGCUCAAAUUUGAAAUCUUAAAGGGUUUCCCUUUACGAAUUGUAGUUUAAAGAAGUGUUUUCUGUUGAGGUUUUGGUAAAAGUUCUUUGGAAUAGGACAUCAUAGAGGGUGAGAAUCCCGUAUUUGACCUAUACUUUCAACUUUGUGAUACACUUUCAAAGAGUCGGAUUGUUUGGGAAUGCAGUCCAAAAUGGGUGGUAAAUUUCAUCUAAAGCUAAAUAUUGGCGAGAGACCGAUAGCGAACAAGUACCGUGAGGGAAAGAUGAAAAGAACUUUGAAAAGAGAGUUAAACAGUACGUGAAAUUGUCAAAAGGGAAGCGUUUGACACCAGUGUUGUUUUUCUGAAAAUCAAUUAAAGAACUGUUUAUGCUAAGCUGUUUAGACUUUAUCAGCUAUCUGUUUAGUUUUGAGCUUUUCUUUAAUGCACUUUUCAGUUAACAAGUCAACAUCAAUUUCUUUUGCUGUAAAAAAGCUUGAGGAAGGUGGCUUGAGAUUCGUCUUAAGUGUUUAUAGCCUCUUGCCUAUGCAGUCGGAGAGAUUGAGGUCUGCAGCGUAGAUCCUUCGGGGCUAAAUGCAUUUGUGCUAAGUUAUAGCAUUUUAUAGACAACUUGUUGACUAUGAUUUGUCUUGUAGCUUACUCGCUUAUAGUUAUUUUACCUACGCUUAGGAUGUUGAGUCAUCACACAUCUCU